GGAGCCCUCGGUGCGCGGCGGAGAGGAGAGGAUUCCGGCGGGAACUCGAUUCUUGGCGCCACCGCCUCAUGCACUGUGUAGAGGCAGAAGGAAUCCACUGAAGCUUUUUGAGCAGGGGAAAUAAUGUGGACAGACUUAUGCAUUUGCAUAUUUAUUUGUCAACCAUGUGGAGGAUGAAUUGAAGAGAAGAUGUUAGAUAUGGGCUACAGACUGGUCUGAACAUAUCAUAGCCUGAUUUCUGCGUGGUGCCGUCCCCUCCUUGCCCACGCUACUUUCCUUGGCUGGCCGCACGUGUGCACCCCGCCCUGAUUGGCUGUGCACGAGAUAAGCGGCUGUUCCUGUGCCCCCCUACGUUCCUCUGACUUGUCUGACUUCCAGCCCUGGCCUUCGCUUCUUCCACCACAGUGCAAUCCUGGGAGGAACAGCAAAGGUUUUGAAAGUAUUUUAGAAGGGCUUUAUGGACCAAGGCUACGAAGAGACCUCAGUUUAUUUGAAGACUGUGAACCAGAAGAGCUGACUGAUUGGUCUAUGGAUGAAAAAUGUUCAUUUUGUAACCUACAGAAAGAAGCAGUCAGUGAUUGUACACCAACUCUUGGUUCUUCACAGUCAACGCCUACAGAGGAACUGUCAUCUCAGGGCCAGUCCAACACUGAUAAGAUUGAAUGCCAAGCAGAAAAUUAUCUAAAUGCACUCUUUCGAAAGAAAGAUCUUCCUCAGAACUGUGAUCCUAACAUUCCCCUAGUUGCUCAGGAAUUAAUGAAAAAGAUGAUACGUCAGUUUGCAAUUGAAUACAUUUCAAAAAGUGGUAAAAUUCAAGAGAAUAGAAAUGGUUCAGUUGGACCAAGUCUAAUAUGUAAAGGUAUCCAAAUGAAUCAAAUAGAAAACUCCCUUCAGGAAGAGCAGGAAGGCCCCCUAGACCUCACUGUGAAUCGAACUCAAGAACAAAAUACUCAACAAGGGGAUGGAGUAUUAGAUCUCUCUACAAAGAAAACCAGCACAAGAUCCGAAGAGUCCUCAACAUGUGAUCCAUCUUCUGAAAAUUCUAUGUCUGGUUCAACUCUUGAUGCAAAAUCAGAGGAAGCUACUAAAAUGGAAAAAGGAAAGUCAACAUUAAACAAAGUUUUGGAAUCAUUGUGCACAUAUCACCAGCAACAGAUUUUGACUAUGUUGAAAUUUCUAAUUCAAGAGCAAAAAGCUUCUUCACUUUGCAGUUGCAAUUCAUCAUAUGCUCUGUCUUCAGAAUCUCAAAAAUCUCUCAUUGAAGAUGAUUUGCAUGGUCUGUUCUGUAGUUGUGGUGAAUAUAGGCUAACAGAAAGAGGGUGUUUACAGAAUGAAAGACAAAGCUCUGGCUUAGCACCCCUUUCAGUGUGUAUUAAAGAUUUUCAUUGCUUAUCUUGCCAAACUGUAGCUAUUGAGCACAUUAAGACAGUAGUUAAUAGAGAAAUUGCCAACAAUUACAAUCCCCACAGGUGCUGUUCUAGACUAUUACAAAACUGUAACAAUCACUCUACAAGAUCAACCUUUUAUACUCCUCUUUCUUUACCUGAAGUAUGUGAUCUGUCAAUCAAUAUUAAAGAUACUAACAGAUCUCGGAGUCCUUCACCACCACCGUUAUCACCUAUACAGACUGAAGGAUUUGAAAAACUUAAAGAUUCAAUCUCAGGCAUUUCAGCUUUAGAAAACAACAAACUUGAAGCAAUUAUCAAUCAGCCUCCAUCUCUCAUACCAGCAGAAGACAAUAGCAAUUGUGAACAUGAAGGUAAAAUACGCAAAGCAAACACUUCUGAUACUUCAGAUGGCUCUUUGCUCAUAGCAGAAGAAAGCAGUCAUUUUACAAAUCAUGAAAAAAUCGAUAAAGGAGAGAGUACUACAAUUUUUCAAGAUUUAAUGGAGCGAAUUAAUGAAAAGUUAAAAUCAAUUGAAACUACGGAUAUAACAAGCCUUGUAAAAGUAGCUAGUAGUGACAGUAAUGCUGAAAAUGAUAAUCUAAGAUUAGGUGAUUUAAUAACAUCUCUUUUGCAUAAUGCAAAGGCUAGUGACUAUAGUUUUAUGGAGCUAUUGAGUCAACAUGAUAAAAAAGUAGAAAAUAAAAUCAUACAGACAAGAUUCCGAAAGCGUCAGGAAACCUUGUUUGCAAUGCAUAACUCUCCUGAUUCACCUUUGUUUAGAAGACAGUCUUUACAAAUAAAGAGAGAAAUUGCUAGCCUUGAUGAAAAUUUUGCAAGAAAAAAAUCAUCUGAAAAAAUUUCAAAGAAAUUGAUACGCAAUGAUGAGAAAGUAUCAAUAGACAAAGAAUCCUACAUUUUAGAAGACUCUGCUUUCCAAAAUUCUAAAAUCAUUGAAAGUUCAAAUCAUGAAGAAGCAUCUACAUUUUUGCCAGUAUAUGAAAUACAAUCAUUGCAACUACCUCUUCAUAGUUUGGAAACGAACUCUAGUUUUGACACAAUUUCAGAAAGCUUUACAGCUACAACACCAGAGAAAAUGAGCAUAACAAAAUCACAGAAAGAAUUUAUAGCUGAAAAGAAAAUACAAAAUCAUAGAGAAAAUCCUAGAUUAGAAAACAAUCAUAUUCCUCUGAAAGAUGAUUUUACUGGACUUUUAAACAGAACUAGGCGAAACAUUGUGCCUCCUGGGUGGUAUUCUGUAUAUGUAACAAAUAAUUUUGUGUUUAAAAAAUCUCCCAAGUCCAAGAAGUCUACAGAAAAAGAUACCACGAAAGACCUUCAGGUUGAUAGAUCAAACAACAUAGACAUAAAUGAAAUCGCAAGGAAUACAAAUUUACAAGUUGUUGUGGAACGUCUAGAAGAUACUAUAAAUAUGGCCAAAAAUACAUUGGAUAAUCAGCCAUUAUCAGAAGGAUACAAAAUAUCCAGGAAGUUAAAAGAAGAUGUUCAUUGUAAAGACCAAAAUGCUUCUAGAAAUUUGAAUCUUUGUGUGAGUGAAACACGUAAAGAACAGAGUUUCUUAUCACAUUCUAAAGUGUCAUCCAGCAAUAGUAAUAAAAGCAAUUGUCUUGUGACAGUAGAACAUGCAGAUGUAAUGGAUAAAAGACUUGAUAACCUCAAAAAAAAUCACUUAGAUUUGGGUAGUUUGACUUCACAGACAAGGUCUGAAGUUGUGGAAAAUUCUUUUUCCAGUUACUCUAGUCCUAUCAAACUCAUGUUUCUUUCAGAGGUUAAUAGUAGUGAAGGAGUCAAAUAUACUUUAACAUCUGUCAGUACUUCCAAUGCAAACCUAUGUUCUUUUGAAAAAUGCCCAACUAGCCCUUCAGUAGGAAAAGAAAAUGAAAAAAACAAGAGUCUCCCAGGUGCAUAUUUUGGUGAUUACAGUUGUAAUACAGAAAAUGACACUUCACAAGGAGAACAAAAAAAAUCUAGUUGUGUAAAAGAAACUGUAGAACCCUGUUCAGCAAAUGUAACUGAUAUGAAUAUUUGUAAGCAGCAGGAAGAAUGUAUAGAUAAAUCAAACAGUGCUAGUGAAUCAUCUUUAAAAAGAAAACCAGGUAGGCCUAAAAAAAUAGGUCCUCAAGUUGUAAAACAGGUUAAGCGACCAAUUGGAAGGCCACCAAAACCUAAAGUUGAUAAGAUAGAAAGUACUAUACGCCGAAGUGAGCACAUCAGCAAUGUUGGGAAGAAAAACACAGAAUCUCUGGUGUCAGGCUUAAAUGAGGGUAUUAGUAGAAAAAGUAUCACAGUGACUGUUGUUUAUGGAAGGUCAAGAAGAAUUAAAAGACAUGUGUCAGAAGGUAGCCUAGGCAAUGCUAUACCUUUCAAUAAUAGUAAUGCUGAUUUUUUGCAUGAAUUUAAUGGGCUGAAACAUAAGAAAACAGCAGAUAUUGGUUUGGAUGAAAGAAUGACCGCUGUACCAAGUUUGACUACUGAAAAGGAUAUCUUUGCAUGUGGCUAUGAACACAUUAGACCUAUCAAGAACAAAUCUGUGUUACCUUACCCUUACAGCAAUAUUAUUCGGACAAGCCAAAAGCCUUUGACAGUAAUUAGGAAACCUGGUAGACCUGCAAAAGUUAAAAUCUCUGGCAUAUCUGUGACUGUUAAUAGAGUUUCACCUCAAGAAAGAAAAGUAUGUAUAAGCAGCUGCUUGCCUCCUUUAGAUCAAGACAGUAUGCUAGAAAAAAACCUAUCAGAAGAAAAGCAUGAACACCAGUGCAAUAAAAUGGAUAAAACAAAAAGCACUCAAACUGAUUUAUUUGAGGAGAGAUCAAAGAAUAUGGCUUCUCCAGUACCUUUGAGACAUUCUGUUAGGGACAGAAAGCCAUCACUGCAUUUUUUACAUUCUCUAGCAUCUUCUAAUUCAUUUGCUUAUAGAAACAACUUGCUACGUAAAUCAUAUAAACUACAUUUCCAAAAAACUAAAGAUCAAAAAGAAAAAUGCAAAUACUCAAAUAUGAAAAUAGCUUCCAAAGAUACCUCAGGAGCUAGAAAUUUGGGUAAUACAAAAAAGAAUCCCGAUGAUGGUAAAUUCACAACUAUUAAUGAAGUAUCAUUGGAUCCUAUUUUUUCAUCAAGCCCUUCUCUUAGGUGGUGGGCAACUACUACUUCAAAUGAUUCCUUGUUAGAGGAGCUAAACAAUAGAUUUGAGCAGAUAACUAAUGCUUGGGUGCAAGUGAGUGGAAAUGAAACAGAAAAUUGUCUUCAUGAAGCAAGAGGCCACUUAGAAAAGGAUGGUAGUUUUAAAGUGCCAAGCCCUUUGGAAACCUGCCUUUUAGAACUUGAAGUUUCACCCGUAAAAAUGCUUUUUCAGAAAAAGUGUGACAUGAAUGAGCUUUGUACCUGGUUUAUGCAAACAACAGAAACACAGUCUCUUUCACUAGUUAGAAAAGCAAAUGCUCGAAAUCCUUUGGAAGUAAUUAAUACCAGAGGAAUCAAAGUUGGAAACAAACAAUCUGAUCAUAAUACUAGCCUUUUCAGAAAGCACUUUAAAAAAUUUGCACUAUCCUCUCCUUCAAAAUCAGCAGGGAAAUUACAGAUAUUGCGUAAAAUUGUUAGAUCUCCAGUGUUAAAUGUGAAAAGUAAUUUCACACUAGCCAGAUUGAGGAGAACUGAAUUUAAGAGACUGCAGCAUGAAAGAUGGAGACAAGUUAAAAAGCUUCACAAUCAUGGAACAGUUGAUUGGAAAUCUAAAAGAAGAAACUUGAGAUUUUUCUGCCAGAACCAGUUUGUAAAUAAGACUGCAGGGGCAACAGAUGCUGACAUCACACUUCAAGGAAAAAACACAGCAGAAAAUCAGCAGUUGGUCUUAGCACCUGAAAUCAGGGAUGCUUUUUUGCAACAGAAGGUAGAAUUGCCUGACUACAGCACACAUGCUAGUUUAGAAAGCAUUUUAAAAUUACAUGCUAAAGAGAAUGAAACCAACUACAGCCAUAAAGAUUUUGGGAAAGUAUCAAGACAAGGAAAAGUGUGUUCAAGUUCUUGGAGGUCAAAAACCUUUAAAGACUGUAGGAUAUUUUUGAGGAAAAUCAAUCAUAUUGAACAGAGAAAUCCAUUUCAGCUAAAUACAAUCAUUUAUUCACCUGAAUCUGUUGAGAGUGAAAGUAAUCAUCAAACUUAUGUUGAAGAAGCAAAACACUGUAAUUUAAGAUCCCAUUCUGCGCAGCAAAAUUCUCAUAAAAGGCAAUCUGAAGCAAUAGAAAAAUCUAAAGCAAAUAAUACUUCCCCUGACACUUUUGCUAGCCAACUUGAUGGCAAUAAAUUAGACAAACAUAUUAAAUUUGAUAAGAAUGCUUCUGAUAGUUCUGAAGUUCUUAGUAAAUUGAACAAAAGAAAAAGACCCUCAUGGAAGACCACAGAAACAUCAACAAAAAGACAUAAGCGACAAUCUUGUAACAGUGGACAAAUGGCAAACUAUUAUUCAAAAUACCAACUAGUAACUAUGGGAAGUUUGAACAUAAGCCUGGCUGCUGAAAGGUGAUCCCUGUUUCCUCCAGGAUCGUAUGUAAAGUCCUCUGUCGGCAUCAAAGGCUCUUCACAUCGUGACCCCUUUCUCCUAUUCUUAUCUCUUCAUAUUGCACUCCACUACGUGCACCAUCCUGCUAUUCUGCUUGCCAUUCCCUACACACUCAAGGGUGUAUGGGGUGUUCAGGGAAGACCAGUACCUCUGGGGUGAGGACUUGCCAAGCCCUUUCCAGGGCUGCUCAUCCACCUUUGGUGUCCACCGAAGUGGACCCAACUCACCUGUGACUCCAAGAAGCUAUAGCAUGCAUAGCCCCCACACUCUGGUAAAACCAUCUGAGCAGAUGAGCUAACCCAGGUUUAGAGUCACCAGCAGGCCUCAAACCUAUCAGUGAGUUAGGGUAAUGUCUGCCCUACGUACGUGAAGAUUUCCCAGAAUGGUCUAAUGAGAAGAGUUUGUUCCAAUGGCCUUGAAAGUGGCUAAGGCAGGUGCUGUGAAUCACCGAGAGCUUAGUCAGACAUGAAGACGCCAAGAUCAUCCGCUGCAGGCCAUCGCCAGCCAUCUUGACUUUUGUCUUGCUGUUGGACUUCACUGACUCUGGAGGAUCCAGAGAGCAAGGGUGAUGACUUCUGCAGCUCUGCCUCACUUCAAUCCAGUUCACGAGCAAGUCGUCACCCUGUGAUCCUCUUCAAAAUAAGGGACGGACGAUGUUCCUGAUAGAUGACAUCCUUGUUUCCGUUAUCUUUGUCCUGCUUAUCCUCUGUGACUGUAAUGCGGUCCAUCCACCCCUCCUGUUGGCAUCCCUGGCUUUCAUCAAGACUCAGCUCACAUGCCGCCUUUUGCAGUCUUUUUCCCAUUUCUUCAUCCACUUGAGCCUUUUCCUUUAAAGUUACCUUUCUCCUACUCUGGAAGUGCCUAUCUGUUUACCUGUUGUCUUCCUCAUUACAUGCUACAAAUGAAAACUGAUGAGAAUCAGGGUUUGUCUGACAUGAACACAGCAAGUAGUCCUUUGAAGCCCGUUAAGAUGUGCC